AUUGAACGCUGGCGGAAUGCUUUACACAUGCAAGUCGAACGGCAGCACGGGGGCAACCCUGGUGGCGAGUGGCGAACGGGUGAGUAAUACAUCGGAACGUGCCCAGUCGUGGGGGAUAACGCAGCGAAAGCUGUGCUAAUACCGCAUACGAUCUACGGAUGAAAGCGGGGGAUCGCAAGACCUCGCGCGAUUGGAGCGGCCGAUGGCAGAUUAGGUAGCUGGUGGGGUAAAGGCCUACCAAGCCAUCGAUCUGUAGCUGGUCUGAGAGGACGACCAGCCACACUGGGACUGAGACACGGCCCAGACUCCUACGGGAGGCAGCAGUGGGGAAUUUUGGACAAUGGGCGCAAGCCUGAUCCAGCCAUUCCGCGUGCAGGAUGAAGGCCUUCGGGUUGUAAACUGCUUUUGUACGGAACGAAAAGGCUCUCUCUAAUACAGGGGGCUCAUGACGGUACCGUAAGAAUAAGCACCGGCUAACUACGUGCCAGCCGCCGCGGUAA
rnacentral:rRNA from 1 species